rnacentral:rRNA from 1 species
UACGGAGGGUGCGAGCGUUGUCCGGAAUCACUGGGCGUAAAGGGCGCGUAGGCGGCGCGGGGAGUCAACGGUGAAAGCUCGGCGCUCAACGCCGAGUCGGCCGUCGAUACUCCCGUGCUUGAGCACUGUAGAGGCAGGUGGAAUUCCGGGUGUAGCGGUGGAAUGCGUAGAGAUCCGGAAGAACACCGGUGGCGAAGGCGGUCUGCUGGGCAGUUGCUGACACUGAGGCGCGACAGCGUGGGGAGCAAACAGG